rnacentral:rRNA from 1 species
CGUAGCCACGGGAAUACAGAGGGUGCGAGCGUUAAUCGGAUUUACUGGGCGUAAAGCGUGCGUAGGCGGCUUUUUAAGUCGGAUGUGAAAUCCCUGAGCUUAACUUAGGAAUUGCAUUCGAUACUGGGAAGCUAGAGUAUGGGAGAGGAUGGUAGAAUUCCAGGUGUAGCGGUGAAAUGCGUAGAGAUCUGGAGGAAUACCGAUGGCGAAGGCAGCCAUCUGGCCUAAUACUGACGCUGAGGUACGAAAGCAUGGGGAGCAAACAGGAUUAGAUACCCCGGUAGUCCCUGUCUCUUAUACA